UACGGGAGGCAGCAGUGGGGAAUAUUGCACAAUGGGCGCAAGCCUGAUGCAGCCAUGCCGCGUGUAUGAAGAAGGCCUUCGGGUUGUAAAGUACUUUCAGUCGUGAGGAAGGUGUUAAGGUUAAUAACCUUAGCAAUUGACGUUAGCGACAGAAGAAGCACCGGCUAACUCCGUGCCAGCAGCCGCGGUAAUACGGAGGGUGCGAGCGUUAAUCGGAAUUACUGGGCGUAAAGGGCACGCAGGCGGUUAAUUAAGUUGGAUGUGAAAUCCCCGGGCUUAACCUGGGAAUGGCAUUCAAGACUGGUUAGCUAGAGUCUUGUAGAGGGGGUAGAAUUCCAUGUGUAGCGGUGAAAUGCGUAGAGAUGUGGAGGAAUACCGGUGGCGAAAGGCGGCCCCUGGACAAAGGACUGACGCUCAUGUGCGAAAAGCUGGGGAGCAAACAGGGAUUAGAUACC
rnacentral:rRNA from 1 species